rnacentral:piRNA from 1 species
UGUGCAAGGACCCGGCAGAUG